rnacentral:lncRNA from 1 species
GUCUAGGCCUCGGUCAAGCUAGAAUAUUUGAAAUGACUCAUAUCUAAGGAAGGAAAGGGCCAUUAAUGAUACGAUUUUUUGGAUGUUGAUUGUGAAAAAGGUAUAGAAGAUGGUUACAAUUGCACAGAGAUUGACGGUGGAAAGCCAGACAAAGGAGACUGAAGGCCUAAACUAAGGCAGUGGCGGGUGGUGAGCUGGACAGAAACUCACCUGAUGCUGAAUGGGAGGACUUACAAAUGAGAUGGGCUUUCUUCUUCCCACGGGAAAUCGUUCUUGGAGUCACUGCUGUUGCCUAAAAUAUAUGCAAAUGCUACCUUCACUGCUCCUGGCACAGGCAGAAACCUGUUGCCUUUCUGGAGAGUUUCUGCUCCUUGUUGAAGCCUCAGAUUAAUCAUUACCCUCCCAAUGAAGGAUUCCUUGGCUGCUGUAGACUAUUGUUAUAGAAAACAUGUUUUAUCAAAUAUGAUGGUCUCCAAGUGUAUCUCCUCAUCUAGACUCUGAGCACUUUGGUGUACAGGUGUUUCGUGUGUGUUUGAUCUCAUUUGUGUUCUCAGUUCCUCUCCAUCAUUGGUACCCAAACAGUAUUUGCAAAGCCAGAAGGUGAUCGAAGGGAUGGCUACCAUUAGAGUGAUUUUACCUUAGAGAUGGAGGCAUACCAAGAAAAAUGAUCAACACAGGAAAACCAAAAUUUUCUACCCAGAAGAAAACCUGAGUAAAUUCCUCCAUCUGAAUUUCUAAUCACUAUUUGAAAAUGGCUAAAUCACCAUAU